UCCGGGAAGUCGCGGCGCCUUCGGAUGUGGCGGAUGCGGCCGUGAGCCGGCGGGGGAGGUGCUGCUGCUGCCUCCACUGUACUCAGACCCAGGUAGCACAGGAUUGUCCAUCCUCCAGCAGCUCAGUGCAACGGUGUGAACUCCGCCUGUUUCAGAGCCUCCACACCAUGACCUAGGCUACUCUGAAGCAGGUGGCUUAGCCCUGGCCCUGGCUGGAUGCAGGACAGGUUGGCAGGGAGGCAGCAGAGCCAAAUUUUGUACAAAGGAGCUGGUGCUAGCAAGCUCAGGAAGAAGCCACAGCCGGAAGUUCACCUUGCCAGGACCUGGCUCAGCUGCAGACCUCCAAGAAGCUGGUGAACUCGGUGGCUGGCUGUGCUGAUGACGCUCUUGCUGGCCUGGUGGCCUGCAACCCCAACCUGCAGCUCUUGCAGGG
rnacentral:sRNA from 1 species